UGACUGAUGUGGAAAAAUUUUAUCAGGAUAAUUUUUGGUCAUCUCACCCAGCCCUGUAUCUCUUACAACACAGAAGGGUCAGAGACAGGAGAUCACAGACAGGGAUGUUUAUUGAUACCAGCAGAGUAAAACAGCAGUGCAGACGUGAAGAUCUUGAAUGGCGUUGCAGAGGAUGGACGUUGAACAAUGAGAACACUCACACAGAGACUGGAGAUCACACGAGGAGAACAGGAGACGCUGGAGACAGGUGGUGAUGAGGUGCAGGUGCCGGUGAUCAGAACUCAGGAGAAGUGGUGCGCUGUGAUUGGUGGAUGGUGGAGCCUGGCGUGUCUGUGACAGUAUCAGAGGCAGAGUUUGAAAAGAUGUUUCAUGGAAAAGGGCGAGCUCUUGAUCCGAAAAUGGGAAUCAUCAGUUAUUCCGCAACUGAAAAACAUUGCCGCUUUGGAGAAAGGGAGUGUAACCUCUCUGUUGGAUCAACUUGAAAACUGUAAUGAUGCCUCUCUUUGAAUCCUGGGAUGGAACAUCAUCUGGAGCAGAUUGUUCUUUUUUGAUCGCAAGUUUGUUGGACAUGUUGUUUGGCCAUGUUGGUCUGUUCAUGAAGUGAUGAAAGUGAUCUGGGUUUUAAGAAAUGUUUUUAUAUGACCAUGUUGGUCAAGUUAUAGUUAUAACGCAGUUUGCGUAUUUCUUUGUGUGAAGGGCCAUGAUGGCCAAUAAGUAAUUUAAAAACAUUUUCAUGACACAAUUUUAUGUCAAUUUAAAAAAUAAAAUGAUUUUCUAAAUAAAAAAUAAAUUCAAAAUAAUACACUUUUUAUGGCAUUUUUUUCAUGUAAAUUUGAA